GGCUGGGGGUGAAAGGCCAAUCAAACCGGGAGAUAGCUGGUUCUCCCCGAAAGCUAUUUAGGUAGCGCCUCGUGAAUUCAUCUCCGGGGGUAGAGCACUGUUUCGGCUAGGGGGCCAUCCCGGCUUACCAACCCGAUGCAAACUGCGAAUACCGGAGAAUGUUAUCACGGGAGACACACGGCGGGUGCUAACGUCCGUCGUGAAGAGGGAAACAACCCAGACCGCCAGCUAAGGUCCCAAAGUCAUGGUUAAGUGGGAAACGAUGUGGGAAGGCCCAGACAGCCAGGAUGUUGGCUUAGAAGCAGCCAUCAUUUAAAGAAAGCGUAAUAGCUCACUGGUCGAGUCGGCCUGCGCGGAAGAUGUAACGGGGCUAAACCAUGCACCGAAGCUGCGGCAGCGACGCUGAUGCGUUGUUGGGUAGGGGAGCGUUCUGUAAGCCUG
rnacentral:rRNA from 1 species